rnacentral:rRNA from 1 species
CAUGCAUGUCUAAGCACAUGCCUUAAUACGGUGAAGCCGCGAAUAGCUCAUUACAACAGCCAUCGUUUACUAGAAAAUAGUUUCCUACUUGGAUAACUGUGGCAAUUCUAGAGCUAAUACAUGCAAAAAAGCUCAGACUGAAAGGAAUGAGCGCAUUUAUUAGAAUAAAAACCAAUCGGGUCUAAAAGCCCGCUGUUUGGUGAAUCUGAAUAACUUUGCUGAUCGCACGGUCUCGUACCGGCGACGUAUCUUUCAAGUGUCUGCCUUAUCAACUUUCGAUGGUAGGUUAUACGCCUACCAUGGUAGUAACGGGUAACGGAGAAUAAGGGUUCGACUCCGGAGAGGGAGCCUGAGAAACGGCUACCACAUCCAAGGAAGGCAGCAGGCGCGCAAAUUACCCACUUCCAGAACGGAGAGGUAGUGACGAAAAAUAACGAGACAGUCCUCUCUGAGGUCUGUCAUCGGAAUGGGUACAAUUUAAAUCCUUUAACGAGGAUCUAUUGGAGGGCAAGUCUGGUGCCAGCAGCCGCGGUAAUUCCAGCUCCAAUAGCGUAUAUUAAAGUUGUUGCGGUUAAAACGCUCGUAGUUGAAUCUGCGGCCUGGGAGAAUGGACCCCCGAAAGGGUGGUAACUGUUACUCCUAGCCUAAAUUUUUAGUCUACUCUAUGGUGCCUUUAACCGGGUGCUUAGAGUGACUGGAACGUUUACUUUGAAAAAAUUAGAGUGCUUAAAGCAGGCGAAUUUGCCUGAAUAAGGUGCAUGGAAUAAUGGAAUAGGACCUCGGUUCUAUUUUGUUGGUUUUCGGAGCCUGAGGUAAUGAU